rnacentral:rRNA from 1 species
UAAUACGGAAGAUGCGAGCGUUAUCCGGAUUUAUUGGGUUUAAAGGGAGCGUAGGCGGGUUCUUAAGCCAGCGGUGAAAUGGCGUCGCCCAACGACGUCCUGCCGUUGGAACUGGGAACCUUGAAUGUGCGCAGGGCAGGUGGAAUUCGUGGUGUAGCGGUGAAAUGCUUAGAUAUCACGAAGAACUCCGAUGGCGAAGGCAUCCUGCUGGAGCACGAUUGACGCUGAGGCUCGAAAGCGCGGGUAUCAAACAGGAUUAGAUACCCUGGUAGUCCGCGCCGUAAACGAUGAGUGCCCGUCCUUGGCGACAUGCUGUCAGGGACCAAGCGAAAAGCAUUAAGCACUCCACCUGGGGAGUACGCCGGCAACGGUGAAACUCAAAGGAAUUGACGGGGGCCCGCACAAGCGGAGGAACAUGUGGUUUAAUUUCGAUGAUACGCGAGGAACCUUACCCGGGCUUGAAUUGCACAGGACUGGGGCGCAGAGACGCGCCCUUUCUCCGGACCUGUGUGAAGGUGCUGCAUGGUUGUCGUCAGCUCCGUGCCGUGAGGUGUC